rnacentral:rRNA from 1 species
GACGAACGCUGGCGGCGUGCUUAACACAUGCAAGUCGAACGAGUGGCGAACGGGUGAGUAACACGUGGGUGACCUGCCCUGCACUUCGGGGUAAGCCUGGGCAACUGGGUCUAAUACCGGAUAGUGUGGGAUGGGCCCGCGGCCUAUCAGCUUGUUGGUGGGGUAACGGUCACCAAGGCCCGAUGCAUAGCCGACCUGAGAGGGUGAUCGGCCACACUGGGACUGUGACACGGCCCGGACUCCUACGGGAGGCAGCAGUGGGGAAUAUUGCACAAAGGGCGCAAGCCUGAUGCAGCCAUGCCGCGUGUAUGAAGAAGGCCUUAGGGUUGUAAAGUACUUUCAGCGGGGAGGCGUUACCCGCAGAAGAAGCACCGGCUAACUCCGUGCCAGCAGCCGCGGUAAUUC